rnacentral:snRNA from 2 species
AGCUUUGCGCAGUGGCAGUAUCGUAGCCAAUGAGGUUUAUCCGAGGCGCGAUUAUUGCUAAUUGAAAAUAUUUUAAAGAAAUAAUAAUGAAUAUAUGAUAAUGAACCCAGUCUGAAUUUUAUUCAUCUUUAAAUUCAUGCAGGCAUAAAUAAAUU